GGUGUGACUAGUGACAGAGUGAGGGAAUGGGUGACUAGUGGCAGAGUGAGGGAAGGAAGGGGUGACUAGUGACAGAGUGAGGGGAUGACUGGUGACAGAGUGAGGGGGUGACACAGUGGCAGAGUGAGGGAGGUGGUGACUGUCAUUAGUCACCCCAUCCCUCACUCUGUCCCUAGUCACCCCCUCCUUCUGUCACUAGUCACCCCCUUCCUCACUCUGUCACUAGUCACCCCUUCCCUCCCUAACUCUGUCACUAGUCACCCCCUCCCUCUCUCUGUCACUAGUCACACC